UUCAUUUGCUCUCGCAUACAGAGGCUGGCUGCCAGUGAGACAGGCCCACUCCAGAGCAGGCUGGAGUGGGCCCAGCACGGGGGAGGAAGCUUGAUGACUCAGGCCUCCCACGCCCAUCUCCCAUGAGCAGAGACUGCACAGCACUGCACUGCACUGUUCGGAAACCCCCCAAAGUUCCCAGGAUUAGUCAUCUGCAACUGCAAGGGAAGCAAGCCAGGUAGUCUGCUACAUUAGGAAAUACAGGCAACAGCCUGGGAGAGAAAACCAACCGCAAGACUGAUAAAAACAAAAAACAUGAACAUCCUACAGUGUCCUCAAGCCAGCAACAUUCCACCAAAUUACUGAGCCAGGAAAGAAUGCUCAAAAACAAGGUUUUAUACAUUCAGUAGUGGUGUCCGAGUUCUCAUUUUCCUGCACUCAUUGGUGUUCCCGAGAGUCAAGUCGUGCUGAUCACCCCUGUGCCCCUCCUUCGCGCACUUUCACCUGGCUGAAUGUUUGAAUGGGGCUCCGGAAGGCUGCUUCUUCCAGAUUUCCCAGUGUUUUCUUCAAGCUGCUAUACUGAAGAAGCCCCAGCACCUCUCCAAACGAGUCUGAAGACACUGCCUGAAUACUGAUUCGAGGCUUAGCUCCAGGCUAAGUGAACCCUGCUGCUCGAUCUCUCUACCCCUUACUCACUCCUUGGAGAGCUCACCAGGGCUAUAAAUCCUUUUCUCUCACUUACACUAUAACUUUUGGUUCCAGAGCAUGGAACUUGGGACAUAUAUGCUGAAGAUCAGAAAUAAUUAAACCAUGUCUUCCUGGUAUCGUAUUACUUCAUGUGCAGAAGGUCACAUCGCCUAACAAGACCACUGGAGGCAAACUGAGCCACAGGACAGGACAGGACGUGAUUAAAUACCAGGAAGUAGCUGUAACUGUUACCUCUAUAGCAUGGACUACAAUAAUUUCACACUUCGCAAAGAACCACAAUGACUUUGAGAGAAGACAAGGGGAGUGGAGUGGGCAAUGACAAUCUGGAAUUCCCCUAUGCUAUUGGUACAGAACUAUACAAUAUGAAUAUCCACUAAAUGCAAUUUACUAUAGCAACCACAUAAGGUAAUAAAGUAACUGAUGAGUUAAUUAUUAAUAAACCCAAACGUUUGGUAUCAUCUUAAGCAACAAACAGCUAUUUUAUUGAAUUAUGAUUUUAUUUGAAUAAUUUUAUUGCAGAAAAAAGACUGUUAUUUAGCUUUUCUGUCAAAAACAAUAUUGAUCUAUCAAAUUAGUGAAUUCAUUUUAAUUCUGGGGGGAAGGAAUACCCAUGCAAUGUCACUAUGUAUCCAUGU